ACCUUCCCUAGACUUGACAUCUCCUGAAUUACCCGUAACUGGGGAAGUCGUUUCGGCGACAGGAAGACAGGUGGUGCAUGGUUGUCGUCAGCUCGUGUCGUGAGAUGUUGGGUUAAGUCCCGCAACGAGCGCAACCCUCAUUGUUAGUUGCUACCAUUUAGUUGAGCAGUCUAGCGAGACUGCCGUGGUUAACGCGGAGGAAGGUGGGGAUGACGUCAAAUCAUCGUGCCCCUUAUGUCUAGGGCUACACACGUGCUACAAUGGCAAGUACAAAUAGAUGCAAUAUCCGUGAGGUGGAGCCAAACUAUCAAACUUGUCUCAGUUCGGAUUGUAGGCUGAAACUCGCCUACAUGAAGCUGGAGUUACUAGUAAUCGCGAAUCAGAAUGUCGCGGUGAAUACGUUCCCGGGCCUUGUACACACCGCCCGUCACACCAUGAGAGUUGCCCAUACCCGAAGUCCGUGAGGUAACCUCCCAGGUACCGCGGCCGAAGGUAGGGUCAGCGAUUGGGGCG
rnacentral:rRNA from 1 species